AGCGACAAUCUGUUCGGAGCGUGGCCAGCUGUCUGUUGGUUGAUAAAGGUUAAACAGAAACAGGCGGAAAAAAGCAAAAACUGACGAAAGAAGGCAACCUCGAAAUCAUAUGAUCGUUGCGUGAUCCGGCGACGCGUGCAGUUUUCGUCCCGUUCUUUGUAGGACAUUUACUACACGGUGACGGGUUUGCGAUUUUUUCUUGUUCCUAAACAGUCAAUCGUGAAAUCGGUUUUGAGUUUGGGAAGACGUGAGAUGGUGUAGGUUUUGAUCGAGAAGACUGGUAUAGAGGUAUUAAUAAACAGUAUGUCAUUUGCGAUCAGUUCGUUCGGUGGGAAAGCUGCAUUGGAAUCGUUUGUCCUGUCAGAAUGGGCCGCGAAGACAACUUAGUAAAAUCGAAAGACAACCUUACGAGGAAGAAGAAAGGAACCAUCCAAUCCAAGACCGAGGACAAAUUUUCAAUGUUCAAAUCCCUGAAUCGCUUGACUAAGAAUUUAGGCUUAAAACAGAAUCAGAUGAUGAAUUAUUCGGUAGAUUUGUAGAGAUAUAUGAUAAUAGCCCUAAUAUAAUUGUUACGAACUACUUUGAAGCAAUUGGAGAUCAUUUGAGAAAGCUUUCUUUUUAGUUCUAUACAUAUAUGACAAUACAGUUGGAAUUAAGUCGAACUCAAUGGUAUACACGUAAUAUUCAUUCUAUUUCUCAUAUAAUAUGUUAUAUUAUUUGCUUCAUCAACAGUUUCAUACUGUUCAAAAAUUUGAUAUUUGUUUCAUUAUAUUACUCUUUAGAUAUAUUUUGAAGCAGUUUGAGUUCCAAUUUGCGCAACUUUUCGAUAGAAACUACGUUUAGUUAACAACAAAAACACAUUUUUCUGACAUCUCGGAAUCGGGUUCCAAUGCACCACAGUUGAGCUAAGAUUUUUUUCCACUUUCUCGUUCAGUUUGUUCUAAACUAAUCUAAAACACAACGAAAAAAGUCAGUCAAUAAUACAUACUUUCAUCUUUAUCAUUAUAAACAAUAAAAACAAAGCUUCCUUAAACGUAACUGUAUGUAUCUUGGUUGGCUCAGUUUUAGGUAUACCUUGAAUCUUGCACAUGCGUUCACCUAUUCUCAUUCGACCGUACUAUGUAACACGCUUAAGUAAAAUUUACAAAAAUAAUAUACAAUUUACUAGUUGCAACUUGCAACAUGAGUAGUGUUUGUCUGCACUUUGUAAGGUACCGUUUAUUUGUCUCUUCACUAGCAUCCCUGAUCAUGUUGGCAGCAGUAGCUUAUGUGUAUGUGAAUAACUUGUGGUUGUGUAUUUUCCGUGAUACUAUAAUAUCUUUGUCGUUUAAACUCAUUGUUGUUGAAAGAUUCAAAAUUAUAUCGUUUUCCUGACACAGUAAUAA